rnacentral:lncRNA from 1 species
GAAUACGGCUACAGUUGCUGUGACUCUUACCCCUGGGGCCCCACAGCAGCUUCUAACUUGAAUCACCUCCUCCUAACUCAUUCCCAUUCAGCUUUUGGGGCCUGUGUACUGUGCUGUCUAGGUUCUGUUCUGUGUGAUAACUCAAAAUCGCACAGUGAGGAUGACUGACCACUGCUCUUGCAGAGGAGACCAUAUCUGGGUGUAGCAGCUGAGAGGCUCCCUGUCUGUAAUCUUGUCACUGGCUGCUUGCUUCUGCUCUUAGUUCCUGUGGAUUGCUCAAGUCCUGAGCUGGCUGUGCUCCUUAGGGGGCGGGCUCCUCCUCAAGCCGGCACCUUUUACAUCAGCUUCCAGAACAACCUUGAGUCCUGCUCUGUGAUUCCAGAUCCCUGGUAUCAACUGUUAGUGUCUUCCCUUUGCCUUUCUCUCAGCCUCCUCUCAUCUGGAUUGAUUAUUCCUGCUUUCCCAAUCCUUUCCCCACACACUUAAUUUUCACCGCUGAAAUGCUGGCAUAAUCCUUGAUUUCUUUCCUUUCUUCAUUAAAACUUUUACUGUUGGUAUCGUGUGCCUGACACAUGUAUUCACUUGUUUAUCUAAUCUUUUCUUAGAAUCAUGUGAUACCGUAGGUGCAUCUUCAACACAGCAAAGAUUCUUACACUGCAUCCAUUUAUCUGCUGAUUACUGUGUAUGUCUCUCCUGUGGGGGCGUGCGAGUGUAGAGGUCCGAGGACAGCUUUCAGUGGUUGGUUCUCCAUCCCCCAUAUGGGUUCUGGGGAUUGGUCUCAAGUUGCCUGGUGAGGAGCCAGGCCUGCUGUGUAGUCUUGAGUAGGCUCUUUAAUUGCUCUGUGCCUCAGUUUCCCCAGCAUAAACCUGGGCAUUCACAGUGGUUAUUACAUAUAUGCAUGCUUGUGAGGAUCAAGAGUUAAUGAAAGGUUAGAACGUUACCUUUCAUGUAGGCCGUCGGGUCUCCACAGCCGACUCACAGAAGCUUGCCCCUAUUCAGGGUGAGUUACUUCCUCUGUGCUGCGGAACUCAGGCUGUGAACUAGCAGGGUUCUGAAGUCUGGCUGACGUGCCGCUUCUCUUCACUACCAAAGGAUUUAGUUUAGUCAAUACGAAGUGACUGAUUUCAUUUGCAGUCAACCCUGCGUAUCACUGGGCCCUUCUGAAUAUGUAGCUAACCACGGAUGGAAAAUGUUAGAAGUUAGUUGCAUAUGAGUGGUUGUGUACAGUUUUUCCUUGCCGUCCCUGAACAGUUUGAUGGGAUAGACUAUCAGGCCUUUCCUUGCAGUAGGCGUUGUGAGUGACCAAGAGGGUUAGAGUGCUUGGGGGAUAUGGGUGGGUUCCUGUGCAGUUGAAUAACUUGUUUGAAUAGCUAAGGAUGUUGGUGAGUGGGGCAGCCUGGAAUGGAUCUCCUCGUUAAUUUUAGGUCCUCCUUUUUCACUUCGUUACUACCACUGGUUAUGAGAUAGUGGAAUAUUUGCUCUGGCUUCUUUUAGAGCAGGCAGCCAGUACACCUUUCCCAGGAAGAUUUCCUGUUGAAUAUUGACACAUUAAGGAGUUACUGAUUGUUCUGUUUUUUUUUUUUCUUUCCUUUUUUUAUUCUCUAAGCAAUAUUACUGAAUAUAAAACAUAGCUUACUUCUUAAAAAGAUGCUUUUCUAGGAGGCACUGAAAGGCUUUAGCCCUAGCAGGGUUUUGUUUAAUGCACAGAAUGUAGAUUUUUUUUUUUUAACUACUUGAAGCAGCUAUUAGACAUCUGACGAUAGUCUUCACACUGCGUUUAAAAACUAAGACACAGAAAUGAUGGUGUGCGCUUGUGCCUCCUUGGAAGGCCUCUGUUUUCUUCUUGUGACUCUGAAUGUAAGAGUUCUGUGACUGUGGUUGGAGAGACGCCUCGGCUGUUGAGAGCAGUGGUCGCUCUUCCAAAGGACCUGGGGUCGCUUUGCCGUAUACUGAGAGAGGCUCACAACAUCUGUAACUCCCAUCCCAGGAGAUCCCAUGUUCUCUUUGGCCUCCGUGUGCACUGCGUGCGUGUGGUGUACAUUAUACAUGUGGGCAAAGCACCCACACAGCUUGGAUUUACUUUGGGCAACGUGGUUGGAAUGUAUCUGGCCCAGAACUACGACAUGCCAAACCUGGCUAAAAAACUUGAAGAGAUUAAAAAGGACCUGGAAGCCAAGAAGAAGCCCCCUAGUUCCUGAUGCCCACCUGGCACUGUAUUCUGGACCCACCAAUUCCGUCCCGGGGCCUGCCUUCUUCACAGCCACAUCCAAAGCUGUGUUCCUCUUUGGUCUCAGAGCCUGCGAGUUGCCUCAGAUCUAACACCGGCCCGAAGUCGAGUUAGCUCUUCGUUUCCAGCAUCUCCCCUCCCCCCGUAUCUUCUGUCCAGCAGCUUCUGAGUCCUAAGGCUGGAACUAAGGUGCUAGGUCAGCAAACACAACCGUAACUGGUAUUCACCUGUGCUCUGAGAGACCCCCGUGGUCAAGGAAUGACUGGCUUUGGAUAGCCGCUGCAUUCACUGUCUAGCAGUGACAGUAGGAGCUUGCUACACAAACCAAAUUUUGUUAAAGUAAUUAAAAUCAGUAUCUUCAAGCCAGUUUCUGGUGAAUUAAUCCAUUUGUUAUAUAAUGUUAUCAAGGAACUCCACGAUUGAUAAUUUAACCAAUAAAUUGUUUGCUGGUCAUUAACCAAAAAACUAUGAAUUCAGUAAAAAAAAAGAGAGAGAGAGAGAGAGAGAGAGAGAGAGAGAGAGAGAGAGAGAGAGAGAGAGAGACUUGGAAAAUUUAAAACAUGCAAAACGCAGUUCAGUCUGUUUAGUCUGUGCUUUUCCUUAACGAUAUCUUUGAACUGAGGCUGCUGUCAAAGAACCAUUCUUUAUGUUUGCACUUGACAGGACGGGCAGAUAAGCGAGAAGCUUUUGAUAAAGAAUGUUACUUUUUCUUUAAACAGUAACAUUUGUACUAACUGUGUAACUUUAGAGGGAUUUCCCUAAGGGAAUGUGGUCCAAAUGUGAUUAAAGUGAGUCUCCUGGGGGAGGUUCUGCCUCUCUCCACAGUGAAGCAUCUUCUCCCAGUCAGGACAGAUCCAAACAGCAGCAUCUCUAUUUAAAGACAGUCUCCCAGUGUUACCCAGGGUGGCCUUGAGCUCCAGGGCUCAAGCAAUCCUCCUGUCUUAGCUUUCGGGUGUUGGAACUACCGGUGUGCACCAUGGUGUGCAGCCUAGUCCAUAAUGUUUUUAAUUAAAAACUAUUUUUAAGGUUACCUAUUCUCACAGGAGAUGAUGGGAAAGUGAUUUCACAUGAAGGUUCUUUCUAGCCUCUGUCUUGUUCCCUGGUACAAAUCCUCAGACAAUCCCUGGUGUCACGUUCCUCUGUGCCUUUGAGAAAGAGUGUCUAACCACACAUGUGUUUUUCACACACAUGCACACACACGUGUGUGUGUGUGUGUACAUACACUUUUUGUCUCUUCCUUUCAUUUUUGUUUUUUACACAGUGUCAUAAAGCCCAUGCUUUAUAGUCAUUGAUAACCUUGAACUUCCGAUCCUCCUGCCUCUGCCCUCUGCCCUCUCCCCUCUGUCCUCUGCCCUCUGCCCUCUGCCCUCUCCCCUCUGUCCUCUGCCCUCUGCCCUCUGCCCUCUGCCUCUCAUGUACAGGGUUUAUAGGUGUGCACCACCACGCCCAGCUACUCUUUUUAAAGCUCUUUUUUCUGUUUCUUUCAUUUGCUUGCUUUUUGAGAGAGGGCCUCACUAUGUAUCCCUGGCUGACCUGGAACUCACUAUGUAGCCCAGGCUGGCUUCAUGUUCACAGAGAUCUGUCUGUCCUUUGCCUCCUGAGUGCUGGGAUAAAGGUGGCUCCAUCAUGCUUGGCUGGCUUUUUUAUUCUUGUUGGAGAGAGCAUCCCCUGUCAGUAUGUUAACCUUGCCCCUGUGCUUCCUGUGCACGAUUCCAUUGAAUGGGGAUUUCAUAAUGUGCUACCGAUGAGCAUUAGGUUGUUCUGUUGCUGGAGUGGUGCUAACCCUGAGCCUGGUGUCCAUAUCCCAGAGCAUAGCUGUACGAUAUCAACUGUCACAGUCUAGCUUGUUUAAGACAGGGUGUCUUGUUCCGGGAGGGGGGGGUGGUUGGGCAGCUUCACUGACAAUGCCUUUUGUGAGGAUAUUUUAGCAGACCAUAGAUUGCAAGGAUUAGUUAGAGACAGCUGUUUUCAGGAAGUAACAAUGGUCCCAGAUGGGAGUCAGAACAGGGCACUCCUACUUAGAGAUACAUUCUAUCCCUUUAUGCCAGACAGAGCAUAGCAGCAGGGAGUGGGCAAGUGGUGUGUUCUUCUGAGACUUUGUAACACUUACCUCGUGAGGGCUUCCUGGGGAAACAGAUGAAGAUAUGUGCUCUGUUAGACUAUGCUUUGCAAAUCGUCCUGUAAAUAGUAGAUAGCAGAGGGAAAAGGCUGCCUACCACACUACUUUCCUAUUUCUGCAGUCUCUUUAGAACUGACUUGUGAGUCGUGUACAGUGUAGUAGUAUAGUCUGGUUAGUCUCUUUCGAGAAUACAGAGGAUCCGGUAUCUAUUGUCCUCAUAACACCUGGCUCCCAAGACUUGAUUGUGAAUGACUAGGUUAUUAGCAGAAUGAAGGAUGGCCUCAAACGAAGAAAGAUGCAUCACCCUCGAGGCUCUUCAGAAUGCUGGAUAGAGGCUUACUUAACAGCUGUUUGCAGAAAAAGAACCAUCAUGACAGCAUUGUUGUAUGUGUGGCUGCCUUGGAAAUGAUGCUAGGGGAUUAGGUCUUUAUAUAAUAAAGAUUUAUUUGCAUUACCUUUCUGUGUGUGUCUGCAUGUGGGUGUGUUCAUGUGAGUGCAGGAACCCUGU